UGGGGAAUAUUGGACAAUGGGCGAAAGCCUGAUCCAGCAAUGCCGCGUGUGUGAAGAAGGCCUGCGGGUUGUAAAGCACUUUCAGGAAGGAGAAAGGAGACUAUGUGAAUAGCAUAGCGCUUUUGAUAUUACUUUCAGAAGAAGCACCGGCUAACUCUGUGCCAGCAGCCGCGGUAAUACAGAGGGUGCGAGCGUUAAUCGGAAUAACUGGGCGUAAAGGGUGCGUAGGCGGACCCUUAAGUCAGAUGUGAAAGCCCCGGGCUCAACCUGGGAACAGCAUUUGAAACUGAGGGUCUAGAGCAGAGAAGAGGAGAGUGGAAUUUCAGGUGUAGCGGUGAAAUGCGUAGAUAUCUGAAGGAACACCAGUGGCGAAGGCGGCUCUCUGGUCUCUAGCUGACGC
rnacentral:rRNA from 1 species